AGUGAACGCUGGCGGUAGGCCUAACACAUGCAAGUCGAACGGCAGCACAGUAAGAGCUUGCUCUUACGGGUGGCGAGUGGCGGACGGGUGAGGAAUACAUCGGAAUCUACUUUUUCGUGGGGGAUAACGUAGGGAAACUUACGCUAAUACCGCAUACGACCUACGGGUGAAAGCAGGGGAUCUUCGGACCUUGCGCGAUUGAAUGAGCCGAUGUCGGAUUAGCUAGUUGGCGGGGUAAAGGCCCACCAAGGCGACGAUCCGUAGCUGGUCUGAGAGGAUGAUCAGCCACACUGGAACUGAGACACGGUCCAGACUCCUACGGGAGGCAGCGGUGGGGAAUAUUGGACAAUGGGCGCAAGCCUGAUCCAGCCAGACCGCGUGGUGGAAGAAGGCCUUCGGGUUGUAAAGCCCUUUUGUUGGGAAAGAAAAGCAGCAGGUUAAUACCCCGCUGUUCUGACGGUACCCAAAGAAUAAGCACCGGCUAACUUCUU
rnacentral:rRNA from 1 species